CAAGAUUAAAAUAAAGGGAAGCAGCAGUAGUAGAAAAAUAGCAACAGGGGAAGCAGCUGCAGAAAAAAUAGCUCAACACUCAGCAAUAGAAGUGAUCCAACAACCUUUAAAUCAUCCUUUAAUCCCCGGAAUAAGCUAAAAUCCUUUGAAGGUUUGGAAUGGAGAUACUAAAUGCAGAAUUAGACCAAUUUUCUACCCAAAAUGCUAGAGUUUUUCAAGUUCUUUUCUUAGCUAGCUGUUUGCAAUUUUCAGAAUUUUUUUCAUCUCUAAAAUCUACCUUGUUAAAGAAGAAAGGGUGCCUUUAGAGGCAAACUUUUAGGGCAACAAUAAUGAAAUCAGUUUGGCACUUUAUACCUUUUGAUCUUUU
rnacentral:lncRNA from 1 species